AUGGGUUACUAUCUUUUUAUUUUGUCCUAUCGUCUUUCCACAGACGGGAGGAGGUUGUUGACAGAUGGAUGUCAAGGUUCUGUUCGUAACCUCGGGCCGUGGAUGCUGCUGACGCUGCCUUAUACCAGCUGCCACUUGGCAUUAUGGGUUUCAAAUGGAACCUGGUUUCGUCAGCUGAGACUUCGUUACUUUGACCAUCUGCUGCAGGCAAACGUAACUGGUCUGGCCACCUGUGAGAAUCCUGCAACAUCCCUGCAACUGAUGCCACCGUUGGUGACUUGCAGAACAACAGAUGUCACUGUGAAACUGCCUCUUGGAACCAGACUGAAGAGGGUAAAAUCUCUGGGUAAAGAUGGUGUAGUUCGGCAGGCAAUCACAACAAUGACUCCAGGAGCAGUGUAUGUGCAGAUCCCAACCCCAGCAGACUUGGUAAGGUUGGUCUAAAACAUGAUCCGGUUUAUUAAAAUGAGGCAUGAGAGCUAAUGACCGUAUGUUUUGCAGGAUUCAAUCUUUGAAGUGAUUUAUUUAGACUCUGCUGGGAAAACAUCCACGAUGCUGGCAGCUUGUUCCACUGCAGCAACACAAACUAGGCGGGAUCGACACCCAAGAGCUCUCCAAAACCCCAACCUGUGGGAGCUUUGGGACUUUGAGCAAGUUCUAGUGGAGCCCGUCAUCCAGGAACCGACGGAGCCCAGUGGGUUCCGGAAUGACGAAGUGACUGAUGCUGACACAGAAAUCUUUGAGUUGUGGGGAUUUGAUGAAAUUCCUGAAGGGCCGUAUACCGGAAUCGACACCCCUGGCGCCCCGACGACUACCACCAGUACCAGCACCACCACCACUUGCGCCCCGACGACGACGACCACCACCACCACCACCACUUGCGCCCCGACGA
rnacentral:lncRNA from 15 species